GUCUAUGGCCAUGCCACCCUGAACAAACUUGAUCCCAUCUGAUCUUGGAAGCUAAGCAGGGUCGGGCCUGGUUAGUACUUGGAUGGGAGGCCACCUAGGAAGACCAGGUACUGUAGGCG
rnacentral:rRNA from 1 species